CGGCGGACGGGUGAGUAACACGUGGAUAACCUACCUAUAAGACUGGGAUAACUUCGGGAAACCGGAGCUAAUACCGGAUAAUAUAUUGAACCGCAUGGUUCAAUAGUGAAAGACGGUUUUGCUGUCACUUAUAGAUGGAUCCGCACCGCAUUAGCUAGUUGGUAAGGUAACGGCUUACCAAGGCGACGAUGCGUAGCCGAACUGAGAGGGUGAUCGGCCACACUGGAACUGAGACACGGUCCAG
rnacentral:rRNA from 1 species